rnacentral:rRNA from 1 species
AGCGAACGCUGGCGGCAGGCCUAACACAUGCAAGUCGAACGGAUCCUUCGGGAUUAGUGGCGGACGGGUGAGUAACACGUGGGAACGUGUCCUUUGGUUCGGAACAACUCAGGGAAACUUGAGCUAAUACCGGAUGUGCCCUUCGGGGGAAAGAUUUAUCGCCAUUGGAGCGGCCCGCGUCUGAUUAGCUAGUUGGUGAGGAAACGGCCCACCAAGGCGACGAUCAGUAGCUGGUCUGAGAGGAUGAUCAGCCACACUGGGACUGAGACACGGCCCAGACUCCUACGGGAGGCAGCAGUGGGGAAUCUUGCGCAAUGGGCGAAAGCCUGACGCAGCCAUGCCGCGUGAAUGAUGAGGGUCUUAGGAUUGUAAAAUUCUUUCAGCGGGGACGAUAAUGACGGUACCCGCAGAAGAAGCUCCGGCUAACUUCGUG